rnacentral:rRNA from 2 species
UGACGAGUUUGAUCCUGGCUCAGAACGAACGCUGGCGGCAGGCCUAACACAUGCAAGUCGAACGCUCCGCAAGGAGAGUGGCAGACGGGUGAGUAACACGUGGGAAUCUUCCUAUCGGUACGGAAUAGCUCAGGGAAACUUGAGGUAAUACCGCAUACGCCCUUCGGGGGAAAGAUUUAUCGCCGAUAGAUGAGCCCGCGUCUGAUUAGCUAGUUGGUGGGGUAAUGGCCUACCAAGGCGACGAUCAGUAGCUGGUCUGAGAGGAUGACCAGCCACACUGGGACUGAGACACGGCCCAGACUCCUACGGGGAGGCAGCAGUGGGGAAUAUUGGACAAUGGGCGCAAGCCUGAUCCCAGCCAUGCCGCGUGAGUGACGAAGGUCUUCGGAUUGUAAAGCUC